CUCAAGGGCCACAUUCUGGCCGUUUGCAGAGCUUUCAACUGUAUCACAUGGUCUUCAUCAGUGGUUGGAGUGUGCUCAGUCGUCAUGGAGACGGUCUGUUGAGGACUCAUCAGUUCACUUUGGUGACACGAGUCAAAGAGAGCAGCGGUGCAGAGUGUGCACGCUUCUGCUGCGUGUAUCAGCUGUGGCUUCGGAUCAAUACAGAAUAUAAGCAACUAAAGAGUUAAAUAUGAUUCACGAGCUGCCCUGCAGGACGUGAAGUGAGGAAUAUAAAAUCUAUAGAGUCGUGAAGAUGAGCUCCACCUUCAGCAGCUGCAGCAGUCAACAAUUUCACUUCUGAUCACUGAGACUGUUCUCAGCGGCUGACCCCCCCAGCUCCUGCCCGCCCACAGCGCUCUGAUCCCGGCCUGCCCUGACCCUGACUGACCGGCCGGGGCGACCUUACCCCGGCUGUGGUGCGUCACCGUGGCCCGCUGACAAGGUCAAACUGAGGGGCAAAGAUUAGGCGUCUUACUUCUGUACUUGUAGUGCAGCAUACAAGAUAUUUUAGCUGCAAACGGUAUCUAAACACCGUCCACAGACACGAGACGGGCUGUAACCCAGUUACAGGUCAGUCAGAGGGCAGACCGGACUCGACUGGAAUGUUUCACCGAACUCCAUUGAAAAAUGGGUCACUUUAAGGCAAACGUGCGCAUGUGUAAACAUACAGCUCAUAGAAGAACUUCUCGCCAAUAUAUAUACGAGCAGCUCUUCAAUUCGGCAUAAAUCCAAUACAUCACGUAGCUCUCAUUUUAGUUUUUAAAAUGUAAGUUUAAAAACUGGCUCUCUCUCUAAAUAUGCUUCUCCCAAAAUAAAGCGCGGAGGGCGGUAGAGAGCAGGUCGGACUGACUCUUCAGUCCACAGUUUGCUGAAUUAAAGUGCUGCUUGCUGAGUGUUUACGUGCCGAAUUCACCAAAACAUUACACCGGUUCGUGAGAAUAUAGAUUUAUACUCUAUAUGACACAUGUCUGCCGCUGCGUUUACUAUAUUUAUGAUUUCCAAAUGGAGUUUGGAACUGAGAUGAGUGCGAACGGCGGUAAUGUUAUCGAGGUCGAAAUUAAGUGAAAGCAGCGGGCCGUCAGGCUCCAGCUGCCCCGGUAAUGGCGUCCGUCCUCCGGCAGGAGUCACCACGUAGCUUCCGCUGGCACGCAAAGAGCUACUCGAGACACAAGCUAACGUUAACCUUUUUUGGUUAAAUGUGUAAACCGCGAGUUAAACUUAGAAAA